GCCGCAAGCGUGUUACACGUCAGAAAUGGACACCAAAGAUUCCGACACUCGAAAAAAAGGACGCCAGAAGUGGAACAGAAGAGAUUUCUCUGAAAGCGAUGACGACACGUGCAGUUCAGAGAGUUCACCCAGUUGGGGUACGGAAAGUGCUACAGAAGGGAGUCGGCCGACAGCCUUACGAAGCAGCCCUUCACAACACAUGCGAGGUACGGAAAGCGCUGGAGAAGGGAGUCUGCCGACAGCCUUGCGAAGCAAUUCGUCACAACACAUUUAAAAUACGCGGAGGCCAUUAUAAUACCUAUCUCGAAAUACGCAAGGAUCCGUCUUCUGGUCGAGCUACCGCCCUAUAGGCACCGGGCGGCCGUCGUAAGGCGCCAGCUGCGCUCCCCAGGAAAAGCGCCCCAAGCGGCGGCAGCGAACAGCACUGGCAUGUGAUACAGACGACGCCGAGAAGGAUCUGCUACUUCGGCCCGUAUCCGAAGAGAAGCGGCGGCGUUUCUUUUUGAGCGUUUGUCGCCGAAAGGCAAAAAGAAGCGGCAGCAAGUGUUUUUUUGAACAAUUCACGAAUGGUUCUAC